ACGAAUAGGCCUGUACCUCCUCUCAAGCAUUCACAGCUAGGUGUGCUGUAACAGAUAGCUUUUAUUAAUCAGAGAGAGGGAGAAUGGGGAAGGAUUGGGGGUGGGGUAGGGGA